UCCGCAGAAACUAGGACAUUGCUCCCUCAGUGUGCUAUCUGCAAGAGCGCUCCUGAAGCUUCCUUAUUACUCAUGUGUUGAUCUCAAUGGACAUUUCAUUUUGCAGCAGACUACCUUAGAACAGAUGAACUAAAACAUCUGGUACUUGUAAUACAUCAGAGGCCUGAAGUUCAAGUUACGUUAUAUUGGAAGGUCUUCUCUGAACUGUCUACUUGAUGAGGGAGCAUGAGGUUGGCUGAAGACAAAGCAAAAGCUGGCGCCUUGCACCCCCCUCUCCAUCCGCUCCCCUCCGUAAUAUGUGUAGCAUU